rnacentral:rRNA from 1 species
UGGGGAAUUUUGGACGAAUUGGGCGAAAGCCUGAUCCAGCAAUGCCGCGUGUGUGAAGAAGGCCUUCGGGUUGUAAAGCACUUUUGUCCGGAAAGAAAUCCUUGGCUCUAAUACAGUCGGGGGAUGACGGUACCGGAAGAAUAAGCACCGGCUAACUACGUGCCAGCAGCCGCGGUAAUACGUAGGGUGCAAGCGUUAAUCGGAAUUACUGGGCGUAAAGCGUGCGCAGGCGGUUUGCUAAGACCGAUGUGAAAUCCCCGGGCUCAACCUGGGAACUGCAUUGGUGACUGGCAGGCUAGAGUAUGGCAGAGGGGGGUAGAAUUCCACGUGUAGCAGUGAAAUGCGUAGAGAUGUGGAGGAAUACCGAUGGCGAAGGCAGCCCCCUGGGCCAAUACUGACGCUCAUGCACGAAAGCGUGGGGAGCAAACAGGAUUAGAUACCCUGGUAGUCCACG